GAUGAAGAACGUAGUGAAAUGCGAAAAGUAAUGUGAAUUGCAGAAUUCAGUGAACCAUCGAAUCUUUGAACGCACAUUGCGCCCGCUGGAACUCCGGCGGGCACGCCUGUCCGAGCGUCAUUUCAACCCUCAGGCCCCCCUUCGCGGGCGGGCCUGGUGUUGGGGCCCGGCCGCUACCCUGCGGCCGUCCCCUAAAUUCAGUGGCGGCCUCGCCGUGAUCCCUUGCGUAGUAAUGCACCUCGCACCGGAGAGCGCCGUGGCCACGCCGUAAAACCCCCAAUUUUCAAUGGUUGACCUCGAAUCAGGUGGGAAUACCCGCUGAACUUAAGCAUAUCAAUAAGCGGAGGA
rnacentral:misc_RNA from 1 species